rnacentral:rRNA from 1 species
UACGUAGGUGGCAAGCGUUGUUCGGAAUUACUGGGCGUAAAGCGCGCGUAGGCGGCUCUUCAAGUCAGACGUGAAAGCCCCGGGCUUAACUCGGGAACUGCGUUUGAUACUGUCGGGCUAGAGUGUGGAAGGGGCGAUUGGAAUUCCGUGUGUAGCGGUGAAAUGCGUAGAUAUACGGAGGAACACCUGCGGCGAAGGCGGGUUGCUGGGCCGACACUGACGCUGAUGCGCGAAAGCCAGGGGAGCGAACGGG